rnacentral:rRNA from 1 species
GACGAACGCUGGCGGCGUGCUUAACACAUGCAAGUCGAACGGUAAGGCCCUUCGGGGUACACGAGUGGCGAACGGGUGAGUAACACGUGGGUGAUCUGCCCUGCACUUCGGGAUAAGCCUGGGAAACUGGGUCUAAUACCGGAUAGGACCACUGCCUGCAUGGGUGGUGGUGGAAAGCUUUUGCGGUGUGGGAUGGGCCCGCGGCCUAUCAGCUUGUUGGUGGGGUGAUGGCCUACCAAGGCGACGACGGGUAGCCGGCCUGGGAGGGUGACCGGCCACACUGGGACUGUGAUACGGCCCAGACUCCUACGGGAGGGAGCAGUGGGGAAUAUUGCACAAUGGGCGAAAGCCUGAUGCAGCGACGCCGCGUGAGGGAUGACGGCCUUCGGGUUGUAAACCUCUUUCAGCACCGACGAAGCGCAAGUGACGGUAGGUGCAGAAGAAGGACCGGCCAACUACGUGCCAGCCGCCGCCGUAA